UACGUAGGGUGCAAGCGUUGUCCGGAAUUAUUGGGCGUAAAGAGCUCGUAGGCGGUCUGUUGCGUCGGCUGUGAAAACCCGGGGCUCAACUCCGGGCCUGCAGCCGAUACGGGCAGACUAGAGUUCGGCAGGGGAGACUGGAAUUCCUGGUGUAGCGGUGAAAUGCGCAGAUAUCAGGAGGAACACCGGUGGCGAAGGCGGCUGACUGGUCCGGUUCUGACGCUGAGGCGCGAAAGCGAUGGG
rnacentral:rRNA from 1 species